GAUGAACGCUGGCGGCGUGCCUAAUACAUGCAAGUCGAGCGAAAAGACGAGGAGCUUGCUCCUCUGACGUUAGCGGAGGACGGGUGAGUAACACGUGGAUAACCUACCUAUAAGACUGGGAUAACUUCGGGAAACCGGAGAUAAUACCGGAUAAUAUAUUGAACCGCAUGGUUCAAUAGUGAAAGACGGUUUUGCUGUCACUUAUAGAUGGAUCCGCGCCGCAUUAGCUAGUUGGUAAGGUAACGGCUUACCAAGGCGACGAUGCGUAGCCGACCUGAGAGGGGGAUCGGCCACACUGGAACUGAGACACGGUCCAGGCUCCUACGGGAGGCAGCAGUAGGGAAUCUUCCGCAAUGGGCGAAAGCCUGACGGAGCAACGCCGCGUGAGUGAUGAAGGUCUUCGGAUCGUAAAACUCUGUUAUUAGGGAAGAACAAAUUUGUAAGUAACUAUGCACGUCUUGACGGUACCUAAUCAGAAAGCCACGGCUAACUACGUG
rnacentral:rRNA from 1 species